ACUGGCCGGGAGCCCGGGCAACAUCACGGUAGCUCUGUGGAGCCCUCCCAGUUCCCUGGUUGGGUCCGUACAUGCAGGCCCAGGCCUCUGCCACCUCACAGGAAUCAGUGAUGAGCUGAAGUAGAUACCAGCAAGCUGUGUGCCCCCAAAGCUGGCAUGUUAGGACCGUGAGAGGAGCAGCAUGCCCCCAGGCAGCCACUCAGAGGGGCUUUGUAACAGAAGCACACAGGACCAUUGCAGACAAUUCAAGUGCUCUAAUAUAUCUCAUCAUCACGUCGCGCCACCCUGUCUACCUGCAAUUGUGUUUCUUCAGAGCAUCAAAUAAGACACACGUCGGCCUGGCAGACAGCUCUUUUCCAACCCAAGACGAGCAACAGCCUCUGAGUCACAACUGCGCGGAGAAGCCUAACAGCCACCUCUGCAGAGCUCUCCCCCCACGUCCAGCCCGAGCGCCAUCUGGAAAGAGACUCUUCUCAGUAGCCCCAUCAUUCCAGAGACCUGCAAGCCACUGUCCCACUCGCAAGCAUUAACUGGUGCCUUUCACUUGUCUUUCUGUUACAUCAAGAGUCAGGGGCACAGUGAGAUUCCCACACAGAAGGUUGAGGCCACGCCACUGACCAGCUGCAGGCCACACGGCAGAGGAGACUGGCCGUAGUCCUGGUCACCCGAGUGCCAUCGAUUGGGGCUGCCACCACCAGCCCAGUGCUGCACCAGCACUGGCCACCAUUCCUGGUUCCCCACAGCAAGCCUAUAUGACAGGCGAUGGUGUCUCCAUUUUACAGACAAGGAAGCGGACGCCAGGGAGGGCAAGGGCUUGGUUCAAGGGUAGGCAAACAGUGCUGGUGACAACAGCAAGUAGGAACGCAGGCCCUGGUGAAGCCCUUCCUGUGAACCAGAUGCAGACUGACAGAGCAGUGCCUGAGAUCCCCAUGUAUCCUAGAACCACACGGUUUUCUGUGUGCCCGGAAGCCACACGCCCGAGGACCUGCGGACAGGUGCAAAGAGGACGACCUCGGGAACGGCGAUUCUUGAGGUGCCCUUUGGACCCCGAAUGACAGUGUUUGCUGCUCGUCCUCAGGCCAGAGCACUUUAAAUAAAAAAAACCCUCACAUUCUUGUGUUUGUAUAAAAGAUAUUUACUUCAAUUAUCACACCUAGGGUGCUAGUGAAUAAUAAUACAUGGUGUGAGUCUCA